GACGAACGCUGGCGGCGUGCUUAACACAUGCACGUAGAACGAAGUGGAGAACGGGUGAGUAAUACGUGGGUAACCUGCCCUCCUUUGUGGGAUAAGCCUUGGAAACGGGGUCUAAUACCGAAUAAAGGGGGAUGGGCUCGCGGCCUCUCAGCUUGUUGGUUGGGGUAGGGCCUACCAAGGCGGUGCCGGGUAGCCGGCCUGAGGGGGGGACCGGCCACAUUGGGACUGAGAUACGGCCCAGGCUCCUACGGGAGGCAGCUGUGGGGGAUAUUGCGCAAUGGGCGACAGCCUGAUGCAGCUACGCCGCGUGGGGGAUGAAGGCUUGCGGGUUGUAUACCACUGUCGCUAUCGAACGGGUAGGUAGAGAAGAAGCGCCGGCUAACUACGUGCCAGCAGCCGCGGUAAUAC
rnacentral:rRNA from 1 species